CUGAGCAGAGGGCAAACCGGUUCUCUGACCGGUUCUGCCCAGUAGAACCGGCCAGAGGGCCGGCUCACUUUGUGCUUGGCCGGUUCAUUGACCGGUUCUGCCCAGUAGAACCGGCCAGUGAACCGGUUCACUACGGGACGGAUUAUAAAAGCCCGUUUCUGAAACCUAAUCAGCCCCCACUUUUUCCUAAAACCCUAAACACGAUUCUAAUUCAUUCCCAACUGAUUUCCUACCUUUCCUUGGUGAUUUAGACAUUCAGCUUGUUCUAAUCAAAUAUAUUAUGGGUUCUCUUCCCUUGGUUGUUCUUAAUCUAUUACAAAAGACCCGUCGACUGCUCGUGCUUCGGAGUCUACGCAGGGUUAGCUGUUUGCCAAGAUUCACAUGGAUAAGCAAGCAGUUUAUGAUUUAAAAGCUUGGUCAUCUCCAAUUAUUGAUUCUUGGAGGUUUUUAUGUUAAUAAAAUUACUCUAUUGUUUUAAACUCUUAGACCGCAGUAGGACUAGUAUUUGUUUUGAUUAUCGUACUCUGAAUUGUCAGAUUGGUCCGAUUAUUUUAUUAUUACCUUUGGUAUGUAUACUCUGGAUUUAUCUCGUUAUAUAUAAAGCAUGCUGUUGAGACU